GCUGGCGGCAUGCCUAACACAUGCAAGUCGAACGGUAACAGGUCUUCGGAUGCUGACGAGUGGCGCACGGGUGAGUAACGCGUGGAUAUCUGCCUAUGAGUGGGGGACAACUUUCGGAAACGAAAGCUAAUACCGCAUAAUCUCUACGGAGCAAAGCAGGGGACCUUUCGGGGCCUUGUGCUUAUAGAUGAAGUCCGCGUCAGAUUAGCUAGUUGGUGGGGUAAGAGCCUACCAAGGCGAUGAUCUGUAGCUGGUUUGAGAGGAUGAUCAGUCACACUGGAACUGAGACACGGUCCAGACUCCUACGGGAGGCAGCAGUGGGGAAUUUUGCACAAUGGGCGCAAGCCUGAUGCAGCGAUGCCGCGUGUGGGAAGAAGGCCUUUGGGUUGUAAACCACUUUCAAUUGGGAAGAAGGGAUGAGUAUUAAUAAUACUCUGACUUGACGGUACCUUUAGAAGAAGCACCGGCUAAUUUCGUGCCAGCAGCCGCGGUAAUACGAAAGGUGCAAGCGUUGUUCGGAUUUACUGGGCGUAAAGAGAUCGUAGGUGGUUUGUUAAGUUAGAUGUGAAAUCCCGGGGCUCAACCUCGGAACUGCAUCUAAAACUGGCAGACUUGAGUUCGGGAGGGGUAAGCGGAAUUCCGUGUGUAGCAGUGAAAUGCGUAGAUAUACGGAGGAACACCUGAGGCGAAGGCGGCUUACUGGACCGAUACUGACACUGAGGAUCGAAAGCGUGGGUAGCAAACAGGAUUAGAUACCCUGGUAGUCCACGCCCUAAACGAUGUCAACUAGCCGUUGCGGGUAUCGACCCCUGCAGUGGCGCAGCUAACGCGAUAAGUUGACCGCCUGGGGAGUACG
rnacentral:rRNA from 1 species